AACGAACGCUGGCGGCAUGCCUAACACAUGCAAGUCGAACGAGACCUUCGGGUCUAGUGGCGCACGGGUGCGUAACGCGUGGUAACCUGCCCUUAGGUUCGGAAUAACUCCCCGAAAGGGGUGCUAAUACCGGAUAAUGUCUUCGGACCAAAGAUUUAUCGCCUUUGGAUGGGCCCGCGUUGGAUUAGCUAGUUGGUAGGGUAAAAGCCUACCAAGGCGACGAUCCAUAGCUGGUCUGAGAGGAUGAUCAGCCACACUGGGACUGAGACACGGCCCAGACUCCUACGGGAGGAAGCAGUGGGGAAUAUUGGACAAUGGGCGAAAGCCUGAUCCAGCAAUGCCGCGUGAGUGAUGAAGGCCGUAGGGUUGUAAAGCUCUUUUACCCGGGAUGAUAAUGACAGUACCGGGAGAAUAAGCUCCGGCUAACUCCGUG
rnacentral:rRNA from 1 species